rnacentral:rRNA from 1 species
UACGUAGGGGGCUAGCGUUGUCCGGAAUCAUUGGGCGUAAAGAGCGUGUAGGCGGCCCGAUAAGUCCGCUGUAAAAGUCAAAGGCUCAACCUUUGAAUGUCAGUGGAUACUGCCGGGCUAGAGUCCGGAAGAGGCGAGUGGAACUCCUGGUGUAGCGGUGGAAUGCGCAGAUAUCAGGAGGAACACCGGUGGCGAAGGCGGGUCUCUGGGCCGGAACUGACGCUAAGGAGCGAAAGCGUGGGGAGCGAACAGG